UUAAUAAUGUUUCUUUUCAACACACGUUUUGUUGAUGAACAUGAAAUUAGAGACAAGAUGAUGAAAGAAAACACCUAGUUGAUUGAGUGCAGUAAGGAUGCUUCUAAACUCAGUCUUACUUUGUAGGCGUUCGAGUUUCUCAUCAAAUUGUCUAUCAUUAUCAAUGAAAGCAUGAAACUGUGGGCAGAAAGAUUUGGCUUCAGAUAUGUCUUUG
rnacentral:misc_RNA from 1 species